rnacentral:rRNA from 1 species
AUUGAACGCUGGCGGCAGGCCUAACACAUGCAAGUCGAACGAGUGGCGGACGGGUGAGUAACGCCUGGGAAACUUCCCGAUGGAGGGGGGAAACUACUGGAAACCGUAGCCAAUACCGGAUACCCUCUGCUUCACCCAGAUGGGAUUAGCGGGUAGGUGGGGGAAAGGCUCACUUAGGCGACGAUCCCUAGCUGGUCUGAGAGGAGGAACAGCAACACUGGAACUGGGACAGGGUCAAGACUCCUACGGGGGGCAGAAGUGGGGAAUAUUUCACAAUGGGCGCAAGCCUGAUGCACCAAGGCCGCGUGUAUGAGGAAGGCCUUCGGGUGGUAAGGUACUUUCAGCGGGUAGGCGGUACCCGCAGAAGAAGCAACGGCUAACUCCGUGCCAGCAGCCGCGGUAAUAC